rnacentral:rRNA from 1 species
AGAGUUCGAUCCUGGCUCAGGAUGAACGCUGGCGGCGCGCCUAAUACAUGCAAGUCGAACGGGAGGUAGCAAUACCUCUAGUGGCGAACGGGUGAGUAACACGUUGGGAAUCUACCCCCUAGACCGGGAUACCCAGUCGAAAGAUUGGCUAAUACCGGAUAUGAUGCAUUUACACAAGUAGAUGUAUUGAAAGGGAGCUUUCAAGCUUCGCUUAGGGAUGAACCUGCGGAUGAUUAGCUAGUUGGCGGGAUAAAAGCCCACCAAGGCGAGGAUCAUUAGCCGGACUGAGAGGUCGGCCGGCCACACAGGAACUGAGACACGGUCCUGACUCCUACGGGAGGCAGCAGUAGGGAGUAUUCGGCAAUGGACGAAAGUCUGACCGAGCGACGCCGCGUGCGGGAUGAAGGUCUUCGGAUUGUAAACCGCUGUGACGAGGGAAGAACGCGUAGGAUAGGAAAUGAUCUUACGUUGACGGUACCUCGUUAGAAAGCUACGGCUAACUACGUGCCAGCAGCCGCGGUAAUACGUAGGUAGCAAGCGUUAUCCGGAAUUAUUGGGCGUAAAGAGUGAGCAGGCGGGAAAACAGGCCGGAGGUGAAAGUGCGGGGCUCAACCCCGUGAUGCCACCGGAACCAUUUUCCUAGAGUGUGGGAGAGGCAAGCGGAACUCCAGGUGUAGCGGUGAAAUGCGCAGAUAUCUGGAAGAACACCAGUGGCGAAGGCGGCUUGCCAGCCCAAUACUGACGCUCAGUCACGAAAGCGUGGGUAGCAAAUAGGCUUAGAUACCCUAGUAGUCCACGCCGUAAACGAUGAGGACCGGAUGGCGGGCAGAACUCGCUGUCCAAGCAAACGCGCUAAGUCCUCCGCCUGGGUACUACGUUCGCAAGAAUAAAACUUAAAGGAAUUGACGGGAACCCGCACAAGCAGUGGAGCAUGUGGUUUAAUUCGACGAUACGCGAAAAACCUUACCAGGGUUUGAAAAGCUAGGGCAAGGCUCUUGGAAACAAGAGAGAUGUUCUCUAGUACAGGUGAUGCAUGGUUGUCGUCAGCUCGUGUCGUGAGAUGUUCGGUCAAGUCCGAAAACGAGCGCAACCCUUGUCCUUAGUUGCCAGCAUUUAGGAUGGGAACUCUAAGGAGACCGCCAGCGCAAGCUGGAGGAAGAUGGGGACGACGUCAAAUCAGCACGUCCUUUAUAUCCUGGGCCACACACGUGCUACAAUGGGCGGCACAACGGGAAGCAAGUUAGUGAUAAUGAGCCAAUCCCCAAAGCCGUUCUCAGUUCGGAUUGAAGCCUGCAACUCGGCUUCAUGAAGCUGGAAUUGCUAGUAAUCGCGGAUCAGCAUUGCCGCGGUGAAUACGUUCUCGGGUUUUGUACACACUGCCCGUCACACCAUGAGAGCCUGUAACGCCUGAAGUCGUUUCCUUAACCGCAAGGAGAGGGACGCCAAGGGUGGGACCGGUGAUUGGGGUUAAGUCGUAACAAGG